GAUGAACGCUGGCGGCGUGCUUAACACAUGCAAGUCGAACGGAAAGGCUCCUGCUUGCAGGGGUACUCGAGUGGCGAACGGGUGAGUAACACGUGGGUGAUCUGCCCAGCACUUCGGGAUAAGCCUGGGAAACUGGGUCUAAUACCGGAUAGGACGAUGGUUUGGAUGCCAUUGUGGAAAGUUUUUUCGGUGUGGGAUGAGCUCGCGGCCUAUCAGCUUGUUGGUGGGGUAAUGGCCUACCAAGGCGUCGACGGGUAGCCGGCCUGAGAGGGUGUACGGCCACAUUGGGCCUGAGAUACGGCCCAGACUCCUACGGGAGGCAGCAGUGGGGAAUAUUGCACAGUGGGCGCACGCCUGAUGCAGCGACGCCGCGUGGGGGAUGCCGGCUUUCGGGUUGUAAACUACUUUCGCUGGGGCCGAAGCGCAAGUGACGGUACCUGGAGAAGAAGCCCCGGCUAACUACGUG
rnacentral:rRNA from 1 species